rnacentral:rRNA from 1 species
UACGUAGGGGGCGAGCGUUGUCCGGAAUUAUUGGGCGUAAAGAGCUCGUAGGCGGUGUGUCGCGUCGGCCGUGAAAACCUGCAGCUUAACUGUGGGCUUGCGGUCGAUACGGGCAUCACUGGAGUUCGGCAGGGGAGACUGGAAUUCCUGGUGUAGCGGUGAAAUGCGCAGAUAUCAGGAAGAACACCAAUGGCGAAAGCAGCUCUCUGGGACGGUACUGACGCUGAGACGCGAAAGCGUGGGGAGCGAACAGG